AGUGGGGAAUCUUGCACAAUGGAGGGAACUCUGAUGCAGCGACGUCGCGUGAACGAUGAAGGCUUUCGAGUCGUAAAGUUCUGUCCUAUGGGACGAUAAUGACGGUACCAUAGGAGGAAGUCCCGGCUAACUACGUGCCAGCAACCGCGGUAAUACGUAGGGGGCGAACGUUGUCCGGAUUUAUUGGGCGUAAAGGGUACGCAGGCGGCCAUGUAAGUCAGAUGUGAAAUCCUAGGGCUUAACCCUAGUUAGCAUUUGAAACUGUGUGGCUUGAGUUAAGGAGAGGAAAGUGGAAUUCCUAGUGUAGCGGUGAAAUGCGUAGAUAUUAGGAGGAAUACCAGUGGCGAAGGCGACUUUCUGGACUUAUACUGACGCUGAGGUACGAAAGCGUGGGGAGCAAACAGGAUUAGAUACCCUGGUAGUCCACGCCGUAAACGAUGAGUGCUAGGUGUCGGGGGUCAAACCUCGGUGCCGCAGCUAACGCAUUAAGCACUCCGCCUGGGAGACACGCAUGU
rnacentral:rRNA from 1 species